AAUCGAGGUUAUGAAUGCCAGUUUUAGCGAGAAGCGGAUUACAAACAGGCAUCAUGCUAACAGCACAGAGACUUGUAAUGUGUACAGCUGACAACGCAGAAUUUGCUAGUGUGCGAUGAACCGAUGUCGUGUAUGUGGUGUGCGCCUUAUGUGUCGUCUGAUUCUCAGAUACUCUGUAGGUUCUCCCCAUAUCUAGGCUGCAUCACUAACAUCGGGUGGUUUUUCGCAGACUGAUAUCCCGCGCUAUAAAUUCAUUAAAGCUUCUCGUUCACUUACAAUGUGCGCUGAUACUCUGAGCCCACCCAGUCCUUUCCAGGCGCUAUAUGCCUGUGCGGCCGAGCAUAUGCGUACGUCAUUAGUGUAUUGAUUGCUUUGACAUAUCACCGGAACAGACUGCACUAACAUGUGCGCAGCUAGGUAUCCCAUUUGGCGGUACGUUGAAAGCUAUGCUAGAAAUGCACUACAUUACUCAUCGUCGCUGGCCAUAAUGCUAGCGCCUGACGUGCGUGCUAACGGUUUUUACAAACACUGCGUUCAUCCAAGUGUGCACUCCUGCUCCAUGCGAUAGCCCACAGCGUUUGUAAUACAGCGCGCCAAGGCAUUUCCUUUUUCCAUGGAAAGAACUGAAAAAUGGAAGGUUAAAGCAACCGGUUUCGCGCGCAUGGAACGCAGAGAGAGAGAGAGAGAGCGACAAUAAAAAAAAAGAAAAAAAAAAGAAGAGAAACGGGCAAAGGCGCUCAGAUUUCUCGGAGCACGUACGCCGUCGCCGGCCGCAGCUCCUGCGCAUGCGCAGCGGCAGCAACGGCGGCGCGCCAUCUCUCCGCGUCGAUUUGAAUUCUCAACGGCUGCGCCAGGCAAGUCAACGCUUGUUGCUGCUGGUGAGCUGCCUGCACCUUGGUGUCUGUGUAUUCGUCUCGACUUUGUGGCAUCACACGUCAACUACACUGAACGCGGGUGUCAUAGACUGCCAGGGAAUUUUCAUGAAAACAGCCAGGGAAAGCUUGGAAAAACAUCAGGGAAAUUGAAAAUGACAACAUAGCAUGCACCUGCAGCACCUUCGGAACCGCUUACACGAAGGUCAAGGCCAGCCAGGCAACCGUGCUUGCCAAGGGGAAGCAGCAUUAAAUAUGUAAAUAUUCUCUUUUGAUGAUAGCAUAAGACAUGCAUUUUAAUAAAUUAAUGUAUUAUAUCGUUCAAUAAAAACAUUUAAUUCAAUAUCGGUGCACUUGUUUUCUUUUUUGCACUACAUGAGUCUGCACUAGUGGAAUUGCUUGAAAUAUUUCUUUCGGCUACAUAUGAGAGUACAGCUGGUUCAGGAUCAUUAUUAAUCUAUUAACAUGAAUGCAUAAAUGCAGAUGGGAAGCAACAGGUGCACAUGCAUAAUAUACGUUCAAAAUUUUGUUGCCGCCAUAUGUAAACAAAAAUUUUAACUACCUUGUAGAUAGAUUUCAUUCAAGCGAAUGCAUUGCAUGCGACUAAACUUUCUUCAAUGUGCAAUUACACAAAUGCUCAUGCAGCUUUACAUAAUGAUUCACGGCUGCAUACAUUUUAGAUUUUUGACUGCUUCCAUCUGCAUGCAUGCUUUUCUAUGUACAGUUCCCUAUGUAUGUUCCCAUAUGCAUACUGGAUACAAUAAAUUUUUAUAGACAUUUCCAAUAAUCUGCUUAUUAGCAAACCCCAGCAGCGAGUGUUUAUGGAAUAACAUUGCCUGCCGAAACAUAGUUAGAAAAAUGUGGUGUAUUAUCUAGUAUAUAUGGUGUCCCAGUAAUUUUAGCCAAGCUGGUCAAUGAAAAUGAAAGGUUAAAAACAACACGGUGCAAGAUAUAUGAUCAUAAAAAGACCUGAAGGUCAGACCUCUGAAUUCAAGGCCGAAUGCACGCCAUAGGUCUUAAAAUCGGAUCUUAUUGCACCGUCUUUUCUUAAUAUUAUUUUUCAUUGAACAGCUUCAGUAAAUUUAAGUUAGCUGGGACACCCUGUAAAAUUGUAAGGCUGAAGUCUAUGGAUUAGCUAUAGACUGAUCUACAGGAACUCUCUGUAGGUAGACUACCACAUUCUACAAAAGGUGUAAGGCCAUAAGUCCAUAGACUGUCUAUAUACUGGUCUAUAGUAAUAGUCUAUAGAUAGUCUAUAGACGUUUGUAGAUAUUUUAUAGACACGUAUACAAAAGUAGAACUAAAUGAGCCUAUAGACUUUUGUCUAUAGACAUUCUGCAGACAUUUGUUUACAAAAGUGAAUUUUCAUUGAUCUAUAGACCGUCUAUAGUCAGUCUAUAGACUCAGACAUUUUGUAGACUGGUCUAGAAAAAGUGUAUGGCCAUAAGUCCAUAGACUGUCUAUAGACUGGUCUAUAGGAAUAGUCUAUAGAUAGUCCAUAGACAUCUGUCUAUAGACAUUUUAUAGACUUAUUUCUACAAAAGCAGAACUAUAUAAGCCUAUAGACUUUUGUCUAUAGACAUUCUACAGACAUUUGUCUACAAAUGUGAAAAUUCAUUGAUCUAUAGACAGUCUAUAGUCAGUCUAUAGACUCAGACAUUUUGUAGACUAGUCUACAAAUAGUGUAUGGCCAUAAGUCCAUAGACUGUCUGUAGACUAGUCUAAAGAAAUGUCUACAAAAAGUCUGUUGACUUCAUAGACAGAUGUCUAUACACUUUAUA